GGCUGCUCACACGUUCAUGGAUUUGGGAUUAUACCGUUUUAUGUGUAUCAUCAUAAUCUUAUAAAACGGCGUAAGAUGAAGGUGGCCUUGGUCACCGUCGUACAUGUCUUGAUAAUAGUAGCGCAAUUGGAGCUUGCUAAAGCGAGAGUCUACAUGGGCAGAGCGCAGGAAGACUUGUCUAGACUUGCAGGGUGGCGAGGAAAGCGCAGGCAAGA